AGAUAUACUUGUUCCCUCCCAAGCCAGAUAUUUUUCCCUCCCAAGCAUAAAAUUCGCCGAAACGCCGCCCUCUGAACUGUUUCAGUUUGCUUGCCCCCAAAUUAUUCCCAAAAUCGCAAAUCCUCCUCUCUCCAACCGGGAAAUAUAAAGCAAGGCAAUUUCAGGCAAAACAAGUAAUUAAAGCUGCAAGCUGAUUGAGAUUCGAAACCCUAAUGAACCCCUACGACCACCGGUACGGCGAUCCGACCUCCUAUCGCGAGCGUCGUAGUGACCUAAUCGGCCCACCUCCUCCUGUGGGUCAGCCACCGGCAGGCGGUUAUGGCCGCGGUGGACACGUUCCGUACGGAGUCACGCCUCCUCCGGUCUAUGGAAGAGGUGGGGGAGGAUCGGCACCACCCGGCGCCGGUGAUUUCAACGGGUACCCGCCGUUUCAGCCUCCCGUUGCCCGAUUCGAAAUCGGUCGAGGCGGUGGAAAUACAAUGAAUGGACAUGUUGGAGUUGGUGAUAGGAGAGUAGGGAACGUAGGCCGUGGUGGUAGUGGUGGAAGAGGCUUUGAUUCGGGUCGUGGUGGCAGAGUUGGUAUAAGCCGUGGUGGUCGUGGUCUGGGUGGUUCUGAUGGAGUGGGUCGGAUUGGGAAUAGGAGCUUUGGUGGAGGUCGUGGUGGGAAUGCCGGCUUUAGCAGUGGGAGAGGUGGUGGGAGGGGAUUUGAGGGGCGAGGUGGUGCAAGGGGAGGUAUACAUGGGGGUGGGGGUUCCAGAGGGGACUUGGACAACAUUGCUUUGCCCAAGCAGGAUUUUGGGAAUUUGGUCCCUUUCGAGAAGAAUUUUUACAUUGAGAGUCCUUCUGUGCGGGCGAUGAGUGAGCAGGAAGCUACGGUUUAUCGGGCUAGGCGGGAUAUUACGGUUGAAGGGCGUGAUGUGCCAAAGCCAAUUAGGAUGUUUCAGGAAGCUAAUUUCCCUGAUUAUUGCCUGGAUGUGAUUGCAAAACUGGGUUUUGUUGAGCCAACAGCAAUUCAGGCUCAAGGAUGGCCAAUGGCUCUUAAGGGUAGGGAUUUAAUUGGUAUUGCUGAGACUGGUUCUGGUAAGACUUUGGCAUAUCUGCUUCCUGCUCUGGUCCAUGUUAGUGCACAGCCUCGAUUGGUACAAGGUGAAGGUCCCAUUGUAUUGGUGUUAGCACCUACUAGAGAGCUAGCGGUUCAGAUUCAAGAAGAAGCUGUGAAAUUUUCUUCACGUGCUAAUAUUAGAAGUACUUGCAUAUAUGGUGGUGCUCCUAAAGGACCUCAAAUCCGUGACCUUAAAAGAGGAGUGGAGAUUGUCAUUGCUACACCUGGUAGACUGAUAGAUAUGUUGGAGGCCCAACACACAAACUUGCGAAGAGUGAGUUACCUUGUGUUGGAUGAGGCCGAUCGAAUGUUGGACAUGGGAUUUGAACCUCAAAUUAGGAAAAUUGUAGCCCAGAUCAGGCCAGAUAGACAGACAUUGUAUUGGAGUGCCACAUGGCCAAGGGAGGUUGAAACUCUAGCAAGGCAGUUUUUACGCAAUGCAUAUAAGGUAAUUAUUGGAUCACCGGAUCUGAAAGCAAACCAAUCUAUAGUUCAAGUUGUUGAAGUUGUGAUGGAGGGAGAGAAAUAUAACAGGCUGAUCAAACUGCUUAAAGAAAUGAUGGAUGGGAGCCGAAUUCUGAUAUUUAUGGAGACAAAAAAAGGAUGUGACCAAGUUACAAGGCAAUUGAGAAUGGAUGGAUGGCCAGCUCUAUCCAUUCAUGGUGAUAAAAGCCAGGUUGAAAGGGACUGGGUUCUUGCUGAGUUUAAAAGUGGCAGAAGUCCUAUAAUGACUGCCACUGAUGUUGCUGCCCGGGGUCUUGGUAGGAUCACUGUGUGUUUGGAGUCUUAGGUUUUUGCAUCUAGGUAUUGAAAUUCCAAAAAUAGGCGAGUUGGCCGGCUGCUGUCCAGUAUCCUGAGAAUAUAAUUUGUGGUUUGGGUGCGAAGGGAGAAACCAUGAUAUUCAUGACAAGGAAAGGUCAUUUUUUAUUUGCAAACAAGUAUUAUCUUUCUACUUCAUUAAGGGAUUUAUCAUUUAUGAGUUUGAUGAAAUGGUGAGAUUUCUUGUACUAGGAUGUCCCUUAAUAGGACUCUCGGUGGGUAUUAUCUUAAUCAGGCAGUCCAUGUUAUGGACAUCGGGAGCACUCACUGAUGUUGCAGGGUGUAUAGUUUCACAGGGUUUUGUUUCUUUUUGAAUGCAUUAGGAAGUAUAGCUGGCCAAAUGAGGUUGGCUACUAACAUUUUGCCUGAGCGGGCAUUGCUCCUAUCAUCAAGCGUGUAGUUAACAUGGUUAAAGUUAUCGCUGCCCAUCCACGGUUAUGGAGCUGGUUGUUUUUGCAGCCCGGUUGACUCAUACAUUCUUAUACAUUGAUUGGAUGUGGAAAUGUGGUUGUGAAGCUGCUCCUUAUCCCUGCAAGGUUAAGAUGUGAAAGACAUAAAAUGUGUGAUCAAUUAUGAUUUUCCAUCGAGCCUUGAAGAUUACGUCCACAGGAUUGGCCGAACUGGU